UUUUGCCAAGGUUGUGCGCGGCGCGUGCACGCGGCCGGGGAGCAGCCCGCAGCGGGAGGAAGGAUGCCUGCACCGAGGAAAGCGGAUUGAGGUGGAAGCAAGUGAGCAGCUGGUCAGUGGGAUGUCACAGCGCAUUGGAAGGACUGCUGCCACUCGGGAGGUCACGUCAGGAGUUCAGGGAGCUCACCAAGGACAUCCUGCAGGACUCUGGUGCCUAUUUGCUGCAUGACAUAUCAAAUCCAAUACUUUGUUUCUGCUGGGACAUCCAGAACUGCUUCCCACCUAACAUCAUUGUCUUUGGACCUGACUACUUAUAUGCUUCAGAAAAUGAAACAUCUGCAUGCAUCCUUGUGCUGGGACUGUGGAGUCUCUGUUUUAUGAGCGUACCUGAAAAGUGGGUGCUGCAUGGACAAAUCCUGUGGGUCUUUAGAGGUUGGAAUUAAUGAAGCAGUAUGAGCAAUAUGAACCGUGACUCAGGGAAAGGGCAGGUUGGUGAGGAGAGGUGCAGAGGUAAUGCCAGCAGUGAGCAAUCAGUAGUCUUUCCUCUGCACCUCUGUCCUGUUUUAACUAUCCAGGGACUGCCGUUCUCUCUCUAUCUGUGACAAGCAGAUGCUGCUCACUUUUUCUAUGGGAAUGGUGAACUUGCUCUCCAAGUUGCAUCUUUCUUGCACUAAAAACAAGCAACUACCCAAGUAAACAAAUGAAAAAAAAUCCAUAUAGAAGGAUGUAUGUAGAAGUUAUGUGCAGACUUUGAACCGCAAAAGCUGUAUGUGGCUUCAGCUUUGCUUUUGGAUAUUUUGCACAAGUAAUAUAUGGGCAGCUUUCAUAUGUUCCUUGCCUAGCUGCCAUAGGAUUAUGCAGUGGACCUUCCUGAGGUUAUAGGAUUCAGAAAUCAGGUGACUGAUAACUCUUCCUCCUGUCCUAGAGCUGUUUUUCGGUCACUGCUUCCUACACUGAAGGGGACAAAUCAUUUCCCAAUGCAUUUUUUAAAACAUUUUCUGCAAAAUGGAAGAUUUGUUGUUGUUGUUCAUAUCCUGGAUCUUAUGACAACCUGAGAUAAAUAGAACGGGUAGGCGCUAUGAUGCUCCUGCCAAGGUCAUGGGCAAUUGCUGCUGGGUGCUGAAUAACUGUCAGGUGAGCCCCAUUGACCCCACUUAAUUUCUCAGAUGCUGAGGGAGGAGAUGACAAAUUGGACCUGCUGGUCAAAGAUCACAAAUGAGAAGUGAUAACAAUUAACUUUCUUAGCAACUAUUGGUAGAAUAUGCUGAGUUAUAAAAAAUGUUAAAUGGUCCCAUGCUUAAAAAUAAAAAACACCCUUCAGAUAUUGCAGAAGACGAUUCAAGAGUGCAGGGUACCCAGUUAAUAGGCGAAUACCAAAGUCUUUCAUAGGAAACAAAAGUCUUCAAGAAAUAUUCACAUAGAUGUUUAGUAAAAUUAAAUCUGAGAAUACAUUACAUGCAAAGAGUUGAAUGAGAUAUUUUUAAAACUCUCUAAUCAUUCACAGGAUUGGAUUUGGUUUGUGGGAUAGAGAGAUGUUUAUUCAAAAAACUUGAAUCAAAACUGAGUCCCACGUCAGUUAGCUGUGGUUGAGGGAACUCAGCUAAUAAUACUUCAGUGCAGUUGGGCAGGGAAUACUCUGGCAGCGUGAAGAAAAGGUGUUUUUUCCUCUGUAAACUGUUUCACAGCAUCUUGAUUAGGAAGUUAAAGGGAAGACACUGUUCUCUGGGGAUCACUGAUUAGUCAGUAGCACAGUCUGAAGCCUAACAGGACAACAGUCUAGCAGCUGGCCCACAGAGGAGCGAACAUUAGGAAGAACAAGCUUCUGUUGUCUGACGCUUUAUUCAGGGGCUCUGACGUGGUGUAUGUAAGGGGGUUAAACCUUUCUGGAUACUGUCAAGAGUCUCUGCAGCAGUAAUGGGGAGCUCUGACUUCUGGAUCAGCUGUGCUAUGCCCACACCAGCCUCUUUUCCUCCCAAAGGGAGGACAUAGCAAGCUCCAGCAGACGCUGCCAAAAAAAAAAAAAAAAAAAAACC